ensembl:lncRNA
GACCAAAGACAAUGGCAGGAAACACACGGCGACACAAGAGCGCAGUUGUUGUAACUUUUUGCAGUCUUAAAGCGCAUGUGCGUAAAAGAAAUAGUCUGUUAAAUGUGGCAUGAACCUGGAACAAGGAGCGAAAAAGAGAGGAGAAAUCAAGUGUGUCAUAAGCUUUGGUAACGCACAUUCACACACACAUCCAUGAUCUUAAAAACCCCCUGAAGGCUUCCUUUGAAACUUUAACUCAUUUGAGCGCUACUAAUGGUUUAUGCAAUCAGAUCCAGUGGCUGUUCCACCCCCCAGGGCGGCAUGAUUGACUUGGAAAUGUACGGUAUGAAACGCAAGCUCAAAAUAAAAUACGCACUGCUCCCCCGUUCCUACAGUACGGCUAGAAUUUGCUUCACGCCGUAUAGACACAGCGCCGGCGGUAUUAUCUGGGAGAGAAAUCAUGUUUAUAGAAAGGGGGAUUGUAGUGAAUGACACACAUAAGCUGCUAGGAGGAUGGGGGAAGAACAAGGUUCUGCGAGGACGUCGUGGAGCCUUCCAAAUGUCGGGGGGGUAUUUUAAGGGCUGAGGUUAACUCUGUAGUGAAGCUGCAUAAUAAUUCAGACGGGGUUCCAUUUUUUUCUUUUUUUUUUUAAAGCGCUAGCUCUAUAUUGUGUGUCGGUGGGUGCACUGAGACGGAGCGGCAUUUGGAGACAUAAGUCACCCAGGAACGCUCCUCCGACUGCGGUUAAUUUUUUCCCCCCACACACACUGUCUCACUGCUGCAGGAUGUCUGGAGCGGAGUUUAUUUUAGAAUUGGAAAUGAAGAAUGUGUGUCAAUUCCCGGUAUUCCACUGUAUAGGGUGUGCGUAGCAGCUGUACAGAAAGAAGACAUUUAGUAUGCUUUUGAAAAACAAGCAGAAUACAUUUGCAAUUAUAAUGGUAUGAUUAAAUAUUAUGCUAGUUUAGUUUUUUGUAAGAUUGAUUGUGCUUACAAGAAAUAUAAAAGUGGUUUGUUCUUAAUAUAACAUCAAAAAAAUUGUUUGUUAAUAUACUACAAAAUGCUCACUGGACACUGUCAGAAUUCUUUAAAGAUCAGUAGCAUUGAAAAAAAAAAAAAAACAUUCUAAAUGUAGGCUCUCUGUACACCACACUUCUAAAUCUGGACUUCACAAAACAGUUUACCCUGACAGAAACCAAAGUGAGUCAGAGUGUCUGAAAAAUGUCCACCAAAUGCACUACAUUCCAGUCCGAACAUAAAUGUUUCCACCCUCCACCCUGGUCCUCACAACUGAGCAGAGAGUUCCUCUAGGCCUUCCUGAGCCGUCUUCUCCUCAGAGGCUUCUUGAGUGCCACCCCCUGAAAAACCUGGGGGUGUUUCCACUGGGAACCAGAGGUCUCCACUGUCCACUCCAGUUGACCCAGGUGCAUAAACCCCUGGCUACUUAAACUAAGCCGAUCCCUGAUAAUGGACAGAACUAACACACUCCAGUCACACUGCGUCGGCUUGUAAGUACUCCAGGCAGUGAUA